GCCAGACUCCUACGGGAGGCAGCAGUGGGGAUAUUGCACAAUGGGGGAAACCCUGAUGCAGCGACGCCGCGUGGGUGAGGAAGUACCCCGGUAUGUAAAGCCCUUUCGGCAGGGAAGAAAAUGACGGUACCUGGCGAAGAAGCCCCGGCUAACUACGUGCCAGCAGCCGCGGUAAUACGUAGGUGGCAAGCGUUGUCCGGAUUUACUGGGUGUAAAGGGCGUGUAGCCGGGAAGGCAAGUCAGAUGUGAAAUCUGGAGGCUCAACCUCCAAAUUGCAUUUGAAACUGUUUUUCUUGAGUACUGGAGAGGCAGACGGAAUUCCUUGUGUAGCGGUGAAAUGCGUAGAUAUUAGGAGGAACACCAGUGGCGAAGGCGGCCUGCUGGGCUUUUACUGACGCUGAGGCUCGAAAGUGUGGGGAGCAAACAGGAUUAGAUACCCGAGUACC
rnacentral:rRNA from 1 species